rnacentral:rRNA from 1 species
GACGAACGCUGGCGGCAUGCCUAAUACAUGCAAGUCGACCUUAGUUGCUAACGGGUGAGUAACACGUGGGUAAGCUACCCAUCAGAAGGGGAUAACACUAUGAAACAGGUGCUAAUACCGGAUACUGAUGGAUGGACGCGCGGGGCAUUAGCUAGUUGGUGAGGUAACGGCUCACCAAGGCAACGAUGCAUAGCGGGUCUGAGAGGAUGACCGGCCACAUUGGGACUGAGACACGGUCCAGACUCCUACGGGAGGCAGCAGUGGGGAAUAUUGCACAAUGGGCGAAAGCCUGAUGCAGCCAUGCCGCGUGUAUGAAGAAGGCCUUCGGGUUGUAAAGUACUUUCAGCGGGGAGGCGUUACCUGCAGAAGAAGCACCGGCUAACUCCGUGCCAGCAGCCGCGGUAAUUC